AUUCCAGCUCCAAUAGCGUAUAUUAAAGUUGUUGCAGUUAAAAAGCUCGUAGUUGGAUUUCAGUCUUAAUUCGUCUGGCCCGCUCCCUUGAGGAGCCGAGUGCCGGUUGCGAAUUGGACUUCCUUCUAGCAUGAAUCUCCUACCGUUAUGCGGCCGGGAAGGACAUCUGGAUCACUUACUUUGAAGAAAUUAGAGUGUUCAAAGCAAGCUUACGCUGUGAAUAUAUUAGCAUGGAAUAAUAACAUAGGACUCGGGUUCUAUUUUGUUGGUUUCUAGGACUCAAGUAAUGAUUGAUAGGGACAGUUGGGGGUGCUGCUAUUAUAUGGCCAGAGGUGAAAUUCACGGAUUCAUAUAAGAGCAACUUAUGCGAAAGCAUUCACCAAGGAUGUCUUCAUUA
rnacentral:rRNA from 1 species